rnacentral:rRNA from 1 species
AGAGCGAACGCUGGCGGCAGGCUUAACACAUGCAAGUCGAGCGGGCGUAGCAAUACGUCAGCGGCAGACGGGUGAGUAACGCGUGGGAACGUACCUUUGGUUCGGAACAACCCAGGGAAACUUGGGCUAAUACCGGAUAAGCCCUUACGGGGAAAGAUUUAUCGCCGAAAGAUCGGCCCGCGUCUGAUUAGCUAGUUGGUGGGGUAAUGGCCCACCAAGGCGACGAUCAGUAGCUGGUCUGAGAGGAUGAUCAGCCACAUUGGGACUGAGACACGGCCCAAACUCCUACGGGAGGCAGCAGUGGGGAAUAUUGGACAAUGGGCGCAAGCCUGAUCCAGCCAUGCCGCGUGAGUGAUGAAGGCCCUAGGGUUGUAAAGCUCUUUUGUGCGGGAAGAUAAUGACGGUACCGCAAGAAUAAGCCCCGGCUAACUUCGUGCCAGCAGCCGC